GAUCAUAUUCCCGGACGAGACAGACUUGUUACGUAUUUGACGAGCCAGCGUCUGUAAAUUCUGUUUAGUAUGGGUCGCUCUGUCCUGGUGCUCACUAUCACUGCGUCCACUUUUGGACGGCCUAAUGUUCGGCCAUGAGCUCGGAAUAAUAUCCGGAGCUCUGCCGCAGCUUCGAGCUCAGUUCUUUCUGGGUUGUGUCCAGCAGUAAGCCGUGGUUAGAGCUCUUCUGAUCAGAUCAUUGUCAGCAUCUGUGAUUAAUGGCUGGCUGGCUGAUUGAUGGUCAUGACAGGAAGACAUCCAGUAAUCUCCACAUCCUGGGAGGCACCAUUAUCUCUUUUUUGGCACUGGUGGUUGGUGUAGGGCCAUCAUUAGUUUUGCAGUGAGCAUUACUUCCAUGAGCUGCAUCUUUGUCUCGGAGAAGGUUUCUCCCGACACAGAGGGUUGAUGGUUACCCUGUACGAAGGUGGAAUUACAGUUGGGAACUUGUUGCGCACUCAACUAUGCUUUCUCUGGUGUCCAAGCAGGAUGGAGGUACGUGUUUGGACUUGCUAUUAUACCAUCUCUCAUGCAGUUGGUGUCCACUACGAUUUUCCUUUGGAGUAAAGCAGUUUGGUCAGAAGGAACUGGAAUAGUAAUGGACUCUGACUUGUGCUUGAUGCAAUUCAGCAAUAUCUGACAACAUCAAGCCAGUGCAUCAAAAUCUGAGGAAUUCUAUAUCAGAGAGUUCAUUUGACAAGCACAACAACAUGAAGCAGAAAGUUAUGAAACCCCCCUGCUGACCAUCAAUACGGAUCAAUCUGUUCUCUGGAUAAUUUUGUUCAGUGUUAUAAUGAUAAUGGCUAUCUAUUUCUGAAACUACUGAACUAUGAUUCAUAUGGUUGGUUUACAUGCAUGUUUUAUUUACUAGUGAUAAAUCUCUAUGAAAUAUUGAAAUACUUUUGUAAUUAUGAUUUGGAAUAAGUAUACAUUAACACCUGACUCUCAUUUUAUGGUUUUUGCAGUGUGCGAUAAAAUCAAUGUGUCCGGAGCACAUUAAAAAUGUACAAUUUAAAUUAUUGAAACAUUGUUUAAACGAUGUGUGACGAGCUGUGGAAUUGUGCACAGAACAAAUAAACAACGAUAUAGAGAAAAA